rnacentral:rRNA from 1 species
GUGACGAAGCGACGCCGCGUGUGGGAAGAAGGCCUUCGGGUUGUAAACCACUGUCGUGAGUGAGAAAAUGUUGGGGUAUUAAUAGUGUCCUUGCUUGACUAAGGCUCCGGAGGAAGCCACGGCUAACUCUGUGCCAGCAGCCGCGGUAAUACAGAGGCGGCAAGCGUUGUUCGGAAUUAUUGGGCGUAAAGAGCACGUAGGCGGCUUUGUAAGUCAGUUGUGAAAGCCUUCUGCUUAACGGAAGAACAGCAGCUGAUACUGCAAGGCUAGAGUGCGGAAGGGGAGAGUGGAACUUCUGGUGGAGCGGUGAAAUGCGUAGAUAUCAGAAGGAACACCGGCGGCGAAGGCGACUCUCUGGUCCGUAACUGACGCUGAGUGUGCGAAAGCUAGGGGAGCAAACGGGAUUAGAUACCCCGGUAGUCCUAGCCGUAAACGAU